GGUGGUAUGCGUACUCUCUCAAUGCUCUUCUUUUCACUAAUUGAUGAUAACUUUUAUGGUCUUCUGUGUGCAGAGAUAAGCGGCAAAAAUGUUGCCAAAUUAGCGCGGGAGAGCGGUUGAGAGCACAGUGCCUCUGCCUCUGCCUCUGCCUCUGCCUCUGCCUCUGAUAGUAUGAAAGUAUUAGACUCCUCCUACAAGAUGUCAAUUCAGGUAUGACCCGAAAAAGAAGCAGUGCAAGUAUGUGUUGC
ensembl:ncRNA F28A12.9 ncRNA